rnacentral:rRNA from 1 species
GACGAACGCUGGCGGCGUGCUUAACACAUGCAAGUCGAACGGAAAGGCCCUGCUUUUGUGGGGUGCUCGAGUGGCGAACGGGUGAGUAACACGUGAGUAACCUGCCCUUGACUUUGGGAUAACUUCAGGAAACUGGGGCUAAUACCGGAUAGGAGCUCCUGCUGCAUGGUGGGGGUUGGAAAGUUUCGGCGGUUGGGGAUGGACUCGCGGCUUAUCAGCUUGUUGGUGGGGUAGUGGCUUACCAAGGCUUUGACGGGUAGCCGGCCUGGGAGGGUGAACGGCCACAUUGGGACUGAGAUACGGCCCAGACUCCUACGGGAGGCAGCAGUGGGGAAUAUUGCACAAUGGGCGGAAGCCUGAUGCAGCAACGCCGCGUGCGGGAUGACGGCCUUCGGGUUGUAAACCGCUUUCGCCUGUGACGAAGCGUGAGUGACGGUAAUGGGUAAAGAAGCACCGGCUAACUACGUG